rnacentral:rRNA from 1 species
UACUGGGCGUAAAGCGCACGCAGGCGGUUUGUUAAGUCAGAUGUGAAAUCCCCGGGCUCAACCUGGGAACUGCAUCUGAUACUGGCAAGCUUGAGUCUCGUAGAGGGGGGUAGAAUUCCAGGUGUAGCGGUGAAAUGCGUAGAGAUCUGGAGGAAUACCGGUGGCGAAGGCGGCCCCCUGGACGAAGACUGACGCUCAGGUGCGAAAGCGUGGGGAGCAAACAGGAUUAGAUACCCUGGUAGUCCACGCCGUAAACGAUGUCGACUUGGAGGUUGUGCCCUUGAG